AGUGAACGCUGGCGGUAGGCCUAACACAUGCAAGUCGAACGGCAGCACAGUAAGAGCUUGCUCUUACGGGUGGCGAGUGGCGGACGGGUGAGGGAUACAUCGGAAUCUACUUUUUCGUGGGGGAUAACGUAGGGAAACUUACGCUAAUACCGCAUACGACCUACGGGUGAAAGCAGGGGAUCUUCGGACCUUGCGCGAUUGAAUGAGCCGAUGUCGGAUUAGCUAGUUGGCGGGGUAAAGGCCCACCAAGGCGACGAUCCGUAGCUGGUCUGAGAGGAUGAUCAGCCACACUGGAACUGAGACACGGUCCAGACUCCUACGGGAGGCAGGAGUGGGGAAUAUUGGACAAUGGGCGCAAGCCUGAUCCAGCCAUACCGCGUGGGUGAAGAAGGCCUUCGGGUUGUAAAGCCCUUUUGUUGGGAAAGAAAAGCAGCAGGUUAAUACCCCGCUGUUCUGACGGUACCCAAAGAAUAAGCACCGGCUAACUUCGUG
rnacentral:rRNA from 1 species